rnacentral:rRNA from 1 species
CAACUUGAAGAGUUUGAUCCUGGCUCAGAACGAACGCUGGCGGCGUGGCUAAGACAUGCAAGUCGCACGGACUAUGCUUAACCGUAUAGUCAGUGGCGAAAGGGUGAGGAAUAGAUAGGUAACGUACCCUGUGCACCGGAAUAGCGUCGGUUAGUAGCAAUACUAACCUACCGAAAGGGGCGGUAAUACCGGAUAACGUUGUCGGUCGCAUGAUCGACAUCCAAUGGAUUUAUCGGCACAGGAGCGGCCUUUCUCCUAUCAGCUAGUUGGCGAGGUAAUGGCUCACCAAGGCUUUGACGGGUACCGGGAUUGAGAGAUUGACCCGGCACAUCGGAACUGAGACACUGUCCGGACCUCCACGGAGGGCUGCAGUAACGAAUAUUGGGCAAUGGGCGCAAGCCUGACCCAGCGACGCCGCGUGAAGGAUGAAGUCCUUCGGGAUGUAAACUUCUUUUAGGGUGCUGAAAGUCCGCAAGGAUUGAUCUAACCCAGAAAAAGUCACGGCUAACUCUGUGCCAGCAGCCGCGGUAAUACAGAGGUGGCAAGCGUUGUUCGGAAUCACUGGGCUUAAAGCGUGUGUAGGCAGAUCAGUAAGUGUCUUGUGAAAUCCCUCGUCUCAACCGAGGAACUGCUGGGCAAACUACUGAUCUUGAGGUAGGCAGGGGUGCUUGGAACUCUUGGUGGAGCGGUGAAAUGCGUAGAUAUCAAGAGGAACGCCUGUGGAGAAAUCGGAGCACUGGGCCUAUUCUGACGCUGAGACACGAAAGCGUGGGGAGUGAACGGGAUUAGAUACCCCGGUAAUCCACGCUGUAAACGAUGCAUACUUGGUGUUGGAAAUUCUGACAUUUUCAAGACCGAAACAAAAGCGUUAAGUAUGCCGCCUGGGGAGUACGGUCGCAAGGCUAAAACUCAAAGGAAUUGACGGGGGCUCACACAAGCGGUGGAGCAUGUGGUUCAAUUCGAAGCAACGCGCAGAACCUUACCUGGGUUUGACAUGCUUGGAUGGCUUUCUGGAAACAGAGUAGCUUGCCCGCAAGGGUGAAACAAGCACAGGUGCUGCAUGGCUGUCGUCAGCUCGUGUCGUGAG